rnacentral:rRNA from 1 species
UACGUAGGGGGCAAGCGUUAUCCGGAAUUACUGGGUGUAAAGGGUGCGUAGGCGGCAAUGCAAGUUUGAUGUGAAACCUUGGGGCUCAACCCCAAGCAUGCAUCGAAAACUGCGUAGCUAGAGUGCAGGAGAGGAAAGUGGAAUUCCGAGUGUAGCGGUGAAAUGCGUAGAGAUUCGGAGGAACACCAGUAGCGAAGGCGACUUUCUGGACUGUAACUGACGCUGAGGCACGAAAGCGUGGGGAGCGAACAGG